GGGCAUCCCAACAAGCCUAUGCGUUACCCAAACACCUUCCAAUCCAUCCAGCCCACACUAUAAGACCAAGCCCGCCUGCAUAUGACCAAUCAGUAACUUUUUCUUUGAUUUUGUUUUAAUGUGCUUCUUCCCUAUCUUCCUUUUCUGGUGAAAGCCCGACAUCUGCAUAAGCCAUGACAAAGCUCUGACUUUCCAAUUCGAGUAAGACUUUUGCUCCUAUUUUGAGAUCACGUGAAGUCUGCAAAUUCUGUCCAAAAUUCCCAACGUUUCAAAUUCAAACGGGUAUGUUGACCAAAAUUCAAAUAUGAUUUUAAAAAUCCUGCUCAAGAACCCUAACUUCUAUCUAUAAAUAUCUGCUUUGAAACUCAUUUUUGGGAAUAGGUUGGCCGCCCUUUCUAUCUCCCUUAACCCUAAUUGUUUGGCCAACUAUUCAUAGUUAUCCUCCUUCUUACUCUUAAAAUCUAGCUUUAAGUUUUUCUGCCUUUUGAUCUCUAUCUAGUCUAUAACCUUGCCAAAGAUUUUAUUUUUAUUUGUGUCGGUAUUUGACGAUCUUCCAAAAGAGUUGAAUGAAAGCCGAAGAUAGUAGAUCUUCUUGACGACGCCCCGUUCGCUGCCCACAAAAAGGUCGGUGACUUUAAAUUUAUCUCUUCUGCUUAAGGUCUGAAAUGAAUAUUUGUUUGAUUUGAGUGCGAGCUACGGAUCAAUUUAGUUUGUUUUGUGUGAAGAAUGGUGGUUUAGUAUCGUUUUUUAGAUAUAUACGUGUUAGAGUUACUGCCUAAAAAAUGAAUAUUGGGAAAGAUUAAAAUCCAUGUCUAAACUUUAAAUAAAGAUUUGCAUUAUGUCUUGUUAUAGAGUUGGAGAACGUGCAACAAGCUGUAAGCUAUUCCUGUUUUAUUUCUUCUAUGUUAUUACAAACCAUUUUCAUUUCUAUUCCCCUUAACUACUUUUCAUGAAGUCUGUAUAUGGUUUGGACAUAUGUACUAAAUUAAGUCACUCUAGCUUGUUAAAUUUGGCUAAGUUUAAGGAAUUAACUUGCAAUAGUAUGCUAUUACAAAUACUUUUGCCAUUGUAGGAUACAUCAAUUUUAGUUUAGGCUAGAGCUAUUUUAAAUAUUUGUAAUAGACAACAACUAUAAACGAGUCUGAGAAUUUUUUUUUACAUGCUAGAGAUCUUGGUUAUAUGAAGGCCUAAAUGUGUUCAUGUAGUUAAAUGACUUGCUUACAAGUUCAGCAGUUUAUACUCGAUUUAUUAACAUUUUGGCGUGUCUUAGUUAGUGUUCUUACUUACUUUGGCUUCAUAAGCGCGUUACUCUGCUGGAAUUUGUUAUCUGGGAUUGUCGAAAAGAAUUUUUUUUUAGGAAAGAUCUAAAUAUCAUUGGCCAUAGGAUUAUAAGGUGUUUAUUCGAACCAUAUUGUUAAACUUCCCUUUAGACCCAAUGCUUUAAGACUUUAAAAUACUUUUUUGGGGACAUAGCUUGUGGAUUGUUGCAAAACCAAAGAAGGAAUGAUAUGCUUAUUUUGGGUCUUUGAUUUUUGUAUAUUACAUAGUACUAAAUUUUCCCUCUAAUUCUGUGUUCCUUUUUUUCCUUUGUUUGCAUAUGCACUUGGAGCAAAUCAUGGAGUCUUAAGCAAGACUCUCCCAUACCCGCACGUGGAGUCAAUGCCUCUCAUUCUUUAGAUGCACCGGAUAGCGAGAAAAACAUGUGAAACGCUUGGGGGCACCUAUGGCGUCUUUCUUUACAUCCAUGUUGUCUAACUUCUUGAUUACAGAUGAUUUAUUUGUAUUUGUGCUUAUCUCAUAUUUAGCAUGAGUUUUGGUAAUUAAGUUUAUUUAAUUAUUUAGUAUUUUUGCUAAAUAAAGUACUCAUUCAUCACAUAGGACUAACAUUAAAUUAGAUGAAGACUUGAAACCUUCUCUUUAUUUCUACUUUCUAACCCAUGAACACUUAUGGAUUUGGAGUCUGCCAGGGUUUUGGUAGAACUUUUG
rnacentral:lncRNA from 1 species